GGGAAUUUUGGGCAAUGGGCGAAAGCCUGACCCAGCAACGCCGCAUGAGGGAUGAAGUAUUUCGGUAUGUAAACCUCGAAAGAAUGGGAAGAAUAAAUGACGGUACCAUUUAUAAGCUCCGGCUAACUACGUGCCAGCAGCCGCGGUAAUACGUAGGGAGCAAGCGUUGUUCGGAUUUACUGGGCGUAAAGGGCGCGUAGGCGGCGCGGUAAGUCACUUGUGAAAUCUCUGAGCUUAACUCAGAACUGCCAAGUGAUACUGCUGUGCUAGAGUGCGGAAGAGGCAACCGGAAUUCUUGGUGUAGCGGUGAAAUGCGUAGAUAUCAAGAGGAACACCUGAGGCGAAGGCGGGUUGCUGGGCCGACACUGACGCUGAUGCGCGAAAGCGUGGGGAGCAAACA
rnacentral:rRNA from 1 species